GUGAGGAAUAUUGGACAAUGGGCGCAAGCCUGAUCCAGCCAUGCCGCGUGCAGGAAGACGCAUCUAUGGUGUGUAAACUGCUUUUGUACGGGAAGAAACACUCCCUCGUGAGGGAGCUUGACGGUACCGUAAGAAUAAGGAUCGGCUAACUCCGUGCCAGCAGCCGCGGUAAUACGGAGGAUCCAAGCGUUAUCCGGAAUCAUUGGGUUUAAAGGGUCCGUAGGCGGUUUAAUAAGUCAGUGGUGAAAGCCCAUCGCUCAACGAUGGAACGGCCAUUGAUACUGUUAGACUUGAAUUACAAGGAAGUAACUAGAAUAUGUAGUGUAGCGGUGAAAUGCUUAGAUAUUACAUGGAAUACCAAUUGCGAAGGCAGGUUACUACAUGUGGAUUGACGCUGAUGGACGAAAGCGUGGGGAGCGAACAGGAUUAGAAACCCGAGUAGUCC
rnacentral:rRNA from 1 species